rnacentral:rRNA from 1 species
UACGUAGGGGGCUAGCGUUGUCCGGAUUUAUUGGGCGUAAAGAGCGUGUAGGCGGCCAGGUAGGUCUGCUGUGAAAACUCGAGGCUCAACCUCGAGACGUCGGCGGAAACCAUCUGGCUAGAGUCCGGAAGAGGAGAGUGGAAUUCCUGGUGUAGCGGUGAAAUGCGCAGAUAUCAGGAAGAACACCUAUAGCGAAGGCAGCUUGCUGGGACGACACUGACGCUAAGGCGCGAAAGCGUGGGGAGCGAACAGG